rnacentral:lncRNA from 1 species
CCCCUCCCCUAGCCUUCUCCCCCUGGGGUCAUUCAGCAAUCGUAUCCCUGCUACUCUCCUUAAUUUGGAAAUCUUCCAUUUUUCUGAGUCAGGUUCACAGUGGGGUACCCAAUUUCCAUGCCCACCUGGUACCUACAGUUUCCAAAUGGGCAAUGACCAACCAGCUAAUUGUACCAGCUGCCCCCCUGGAGCCUACUGUCCCAGUGGAUCCCCCAAACCUGUGUUCUGCCCAGGAGCUCUGGUCAGCUACUAUGCCAGGAAUGCCCAGAAGGAAAAUUCUGCAAUGGCACUGGGGUAGCUGAACCUUCAGUAUGUCCUCCUGGGCAUUACUGCCCAGCAAAGAGUAUACUUCCCAACCCAUGUCCAGUGGGCACUUUCCGAGAGGCUCCAGGUGCAACUAGCAUGGACUUGUGCCAGCCAUGCUGCCCAGGCAGGUUCUGUAGCAAAACUGGCCUGAAAGAACCAGAAGGUCUAUGUGAUCCUGGGUACUACUGUGGACCUGGGUCCAAUACUUCCUCUCCGGUGGGGUUUUCCUUUGGUGACUUCUGCCCAAAGGGCCAUUACUGCCCUGCUGGCACUGCAGACACAGAACAGACACCCUGCCCAGCUGGCACCUGGAAUAAGAAGAAAGGGGCACAGGAUGCUAGCUGGUGUCUAUCCUGCCCUCCUGGCUUUUUCUGUGAUGUCGCCGGCAGUGCUGCCCCAGGAGGUCCAUGUGCCCCAGGAUUCUUCUGCACGGGAGGGACACAGACCCCAAGGCCAGUUGGUGGAGCAGGUGGAGAUCUUUGUCCCACUGGUCAUGCCUGCCCCGAAGGCUCCUCCUUUGCCAUCCCCUGCCUGGAUGGGCAGCAUAGCAAUGGAACAGGUAAGAAGGAUGGAUGGGGCUGAGACGGGAGCAGAACACCUCUGGAAGAUGCCUUUGCUUUGAGCUGAGGCUAGGUUAGGAAAGUCAGCGACUCAUGUAUUUUGUGUUCCAGGCCAGAAGAGCUGCCUCCCCUGCCCAGCAGGGUCUUACUGCCCAGGUGGUCAAAAGAAGCUCUGUCCCCCUGGCUCUUAUUGUCCCAAGGGGACCGGCAGUUCCCCCUGUCCCUGUCCCCCAGGGACAUUUGGUCCAUUUCUUGGGUUGAGCCAGAUGCAGGACUGCCAGCCGUGUCCAGCAGGUAAGGAACCAUGUACGAAUAUCAAGGAGGUGUUAAUAUCAUGGAAGCAUGAAAGGUCAAUGUCAGGCCAUUAGAAUCUCUUCAAUGGACCCAAGAUAACAACCACACAGAGGUGCCCCUCCCAGUCAAUCCUAGAGGAAAAAGUAAAAAUAGUAAUAGGGUUUUGUUGUUGAUGUUGCUACUACUUUUCGGUCACAUCCCCAUCUGGGGUUUUCUUGGCAAAGACAUUGGAAUGGUUUGCCAUUUCCUUCUCCAGCUCAUUUUACAGAUGAGGAAACUGAGGCAAAUAGGGUGAAGAGCCUCGC